CUCUGCACCCUCCUCACCGACUCCAGAGCUUGUGUGGAUGUUUGAUUGGAUUGACACCAGUCCGACUCACACAGUUGGACAAGAUCUCUUGAAGCUGUAGGUUUUCUGAAGAUCCUUCGAGUUUACCUUUUCACCAGAACUUGACAAAAUGGAGCAGAGCACAUCAACCAGCCAACCACAACCGCCCUCUUAUCCAGUUUCACAACAGAUGUACCCACCAUCCCAAUCGGCAUCAUACCAGACAGCUCCUCCCCAAGUUCAAACUGCACAAUACCAGCAGCCGCAGAUUGACCCGCAGAUGCAGAUGAAGCCUCAACUUCAGCAGCAGGCUCAGCUUCAGCCACAGCCUCAGUUUCAGCAGCAGCCGCAGCCUCAGCUUCAGGCAC